GUGGGGAAUCUUGCGCAAUGGGCGAAAGCCUGACGCAGCCAUGCCGCGUGAAUGAUGAAGGUCUUAGGAUUGUAAAAUUCUUUCACCGGGGACGAUAAUGACGGUACCCGGAGAAGAAGCCCCGGCUAACUUCGUGCCAGCAGCCGCGGUAAUACGAAGGGGGCUAGCGUUGCUCGGAAUUACUGGGCGUAAAGGGCGCGUAGGCGGACAGUUUAGUCAGAGGUGAAAGCCCAGGGCUCAACCUUGGAAUUGCCUUUGAUACUGGCUGUCUUGAGUACGGGAGAGGUGAGUGGAACUCCGAGUGUAGAGGUGAAAGUCGUAGAUAUUCGGAAGAACACCAGUGGCGAAGGCGACUCACUGGCCCAAUACUGACGCUGAGGCGCGAAAGCGUGGGGAGCAAACAGGAUUAGAAACCCCGGUAGUCC
rnacentral:rRNA from 1 species